CAGGGAAACCGAGUCUUAAUUGGGCGUUAAGUUGCAGGGUAUAGACCCGAAACCCGGUGAUCUAGCCAUGGGCAGGUUGAAGGUUGGGUAACACUAACUGGAGGACCGAACCGACUAAUGUUGAAAAAUUAGCGGAUGACCUGUGGCUGGGGGUGAAAGGCCAAUCAAACCGGGAGAUAGCUGGUUCUCCCCGAAAGCUAUUUAGGUAGCGCCUCGUGAAUUCAUCUCCGGGGGUAGAGCACUGUUUCGGCUAGGGGGCCAUCCCGGCUUACCAACCCGAUGCAAACUGCGAAUACCGGAGAAUGUUAUCACGGGAGACACACGGCGGGUGCUAACGUCCGUCGUGAAGAGGGAAACAACCCAGACCGCCAGCUAAGGUCCCAAAGUCAUGGUUAAGUGGGAAACGAUGUGGGAAGGCCCAGACAGCCAGGAUGUUGGCUUAGAAGCAGCCAUCAUUUAAAGAAAGCGUAAUAGCUCACUGGUCGAGUCGGCCUGCGCGGAAGAUGUAACGGGGCUAAACCAU
rnacentral:rRNA from 1 species